rnacentral:rRNA from 1 species
GAUGAACGCUGGCGGCGUGCCUAAUACAUGCCAGUCGAGCGAACGGACGAGAAGCUUGCUUCUCUGAUGUUAGCGGCGGACGGGUGAGUAACACGUGGAUAACCUACCUAUAAGACUGGGAUAACUUCGGGAAACCGGAGCUAAUACCGGAUAAUAUUUUGAACCGCAUGGUUCAAAAGUGAAAGACGGUCUUGCUGUCACUUAUAGAUGGAUCCGCGCUGCAUUAGCUAGUUGGUAAGGUAACGGCUUACCAAGGCAACGAUGCAUAGCCGACCUGAGAGGGUGAUCGGCCACACUGGAACUGAGACACGGUCCAGACUCCUACGGGAGGCAGCAGUAGGGAAUCUUCCGCAAUGGGCGAAAGCCUGACGGAGCAACGCCGCGUGAGUGAUGAAGGUCUUCGGAUCGUAAAACUCUGUUAUUAGGGAAGAACGUAUGUGUAAGUAACUGUGCACAUCUUGACGGUACCUAAUCAGAAAGCCACGGCUAACUACGUG